rnacentral:tRNA from 1 species
GCGUCUGUCGUCUAAUGGGCACAGGACAACCCCGGUGAGGGGUCAACGUCGGUUCGAAUCCGGCCGGACGCA